GAUGAAGAACGUAGCGAAAUGCGAUAACUAAUGUGAAUUGCAGAAUUCAGUGAAUCAUCGAAUCUUUGAACGCACAUUGCGCCCCCUGGUAUUCCGGGGGGCAUGCCUGUCCGAGCGUCAUUGCAACCCUCAAGCGCGGCUUGCGUGUUGGGCGCCGUCCCCCGUGGACGCGCCCGAAAGGCAGUGGCGGUACCGUGCUCCGGUGCCCGAGCGUAUGGGCUUAAAACCCGCUCUUGUGGCCCGGCCGGCGCUGGCCUCGACCCCCAACUUUACAAGGUUGACCUCGGAUCAGGUAGGGAUACCCGCUGAACUUAAGCAUAUCAAUAAGCGGAGGA
rnacentral:misc_RNA from 1 species